AGCGAACGCUGGCGGCAGGCCUAACACAUGCAAGUCGAACGAACCUUUCGGGGUUAGUGGCGGACGGGUGAGUAACACGUGGGAACGUGCCUUUAGGUUCGGAAUAACUCAGGGAAACUUGUGCUAAUACCGAAUGUGCCCUUCGGGGGAAAGAUUUAUCGCCUUUAGAGCGGCCCGCGUCUGAUUAGCUAGUUGGUUGAGGUAAUGGCUCACCAAGGCGACGAUCAGUAGCUGGUCUGAGAGGAUGAUCAGCCACAUUGGGACUGAGACACGGCCCAAACUCCUACGGGAGGCAGCAGUGGGUAAUCUUGCGCAAUGGGCGAAAGCCUGACGCAGCCAUGCCGCGUGAAUGAUGAAGGUCUUAGGAUUGUAAAAUUCUUUCACCGGGGACGAUAAUGACGGUACCCGGAGAAGAAGCCCCGGCUAACUUCGUG
rnacentral:rRNA from 1 species